rnacentral:rRNA from 1 species
UACGGAGGGAGCUAGCGUUGUUCGGAAUUACUGGGCGUAAAGCGCACGUAGGCGGCUUUGUAAGUUAGAGGUGAAAGCCCGGAGCUCAACUCCGGAAUUGCCUUUAAGACUGCAUCGCUUGAAUCCGGGAGAGGUGAGUGGAAUUCCGAGUGUAGAGGUGAAAUUCGUAGAUAUCGGAAGAACACCAGUGGCGAAAGGCG